UCCAGGCGCUCCGUGUUAAUCAGGCUCGCGCAUUAGCAUUCCGUUAUACACCGUGAUUAACAAUAUCGCAGCGCGCGGGAACUCCGCCGACCAGACAAUAGACCGGUGGACCUGCGGCUGAGCCCCGGUCUCUCUCACUCACCCCCACCCAGUCAUAAAGGCCCUGUAAAGUAUCGGGUCGCAGAGUGUUCUGGUGAAUUAACGCACUUCAGCCAAAUCUCGACUCAUUACUGCAGUGACUGCACGCACUAAAUCACCCGAGGUCGUAAACCCGUGGCGGUAUAGCGCACGCUGCAGCUGUGUUUCCAUCACUCGGCCCUAAUUCUAUAGGCCUACGCUCCAAUUAUUGUUGUGUUAUGUAAACUUUAGAUUGAAAUCCAUCCAAUCAGAAGACCAGAUGAUGUUGUAUAGGCUCUAUAGUGUAAUAUAGUUCUAUAGUGUGAUGUAAUAUAGGUCUAUAGUGGAAUGUAAUAUAGUGUGAUGUAAUAUAGGUCUAUAGUGUAAUAUAGUUCUAUAGCAGAGUGUAAUAUAGUGUGAUGUAAUAUAGGUCUAUAGUGUAAUAUAGUUCUAUAGUGUGAUGUAAUAUAGGUCUAUAGUGGAAUGUAAUAUAGUGUGAUGUAAUAUAGGUCUAUAGUGGAAUGUAAUAUAGUGUGAUGUAAUAUAGGUCUAUAG